rnacentral:snRNA from 1 species
GGAUUGAGGGCCAUCUGGCUGCAAUAUCUAUUACCACAUUGACUGCCAGGGCAGAUUCAGCUGAACUCACUGUCUAGGCAGGUGUCCUCAUCCUCCCUCACUACUCCCUGUGCUUCUCUCCUGAAGCUGUGUGCUCUGUGGAAUGGCAAAUGGACUACCUUCCCCAAAUCGAGGAGGACAGGUCUUCAGGUCAAGGGUAUAGCAAUAGCAGUGCUCCCCUGCCAGAACCUCCAAACAAGCUCAAGGUCCACAUGAGUCCCAAUAUAGUUCAUGUAACAUACUUUAAAAAAAUACACUUAUUUCUCGUAAAAUUUUAGGAGU